GUUUUGUUUUCCGUAUAUAUAUAUACUUGACGUCUCCCAGAAAUUGAAUUGAAAUGAAAAUAUGUUUAAAAUGAAAUGCAUAUGAGUUAUGUGGAAAAACGGAAAGUGAAAUACCAUGCAUAGAAUUGAUAUGAAAAGUAUAUAGAAAUGUGAGUUGAAAUGCCAUGCAUGAAUUAAUAUAUGAUGCAUAUGUAUGAAUUAGUGCGGUGGACGCACAGGUAAGAAUUAAUAUAUGAUGCAUAUGUAUGAAUUGGUGCGGUGGACGCACAGGUAAGAAUUAAUAUAUGAUGCAUAUGUAUGAAUUGGUGCGGUUGACGCACAGGUAAGAAUUGAUUUAUGAUGCAUAUGUAUGAAAUCGUGCGGUGGACGCACAGGUGAGUAUUUAUUUCUGUUAUGAUGAUGUUGAUGUAUAUUGAGCUCAAAUCCUGCACCAUAGUUUAGUGCUUAUAGUAUUCACCGCAUCGCACGCUCGUCUUGGAUCCAAGUAGAUGCUAGUCGUACAGUCCACGCGGAGUGGGUACGACAGGCCAGUCGCGAGAGUGUUAGUGAGAUUCCGACUGGUGGGUGACCUUAGAUUAUGUGCACAGAUGAUUUAUGAGAAGCACUAGAGCGUAACUUAUGUGCAGAAGGCCGUACAGGUCACGCUGAGUGACUCCGACAGAGUGUGAGAGUGAUAGAUUUUGAGCUCUAGGUUCAACCGGGCUAAUAGAGGGCCUCCGGUUGAUUACUUUAUUGCACCUGAUAUGAUUUAUGUUGAUGCAUUCAUACCUUAUUACUGUCGAGAUGAUGUGGCAUGGCAUAAUUAAUAUGAGAAAUGUUGAGAUGAUGUGGCAUGGCAUAAUUAUAAUGAAAAUGUUGAGUUAAUGACUUGAAGUCUUGAGAAUAUAUAUGUAUAUUUAUAUUUUACAUUUCUGGGAAAGUAUACAUGUUUUACGGAGAGGGGUUACAACGUUUUGAGAAAUGUUUGGAUUUGGAAAAGAAUUGUUUUACUGACCCACUCAAUUUUAGUUUUGCGCCCCUCCAGGUUCAGGAAUCACAAAGGUGUGGUGACUACGAGGAAUUUGACGGUGUUCUGACAGAUUGGACAAAAUUAGGACUCACCUUCGGGUGUAUCAACUUAUAAAUUGUAUCUUAAAGCUUCCGUACUGUGCAAAUGGUUACGUCACUCUCACGUGACGGCCAGCAUGCCCUCCUUCGGGACGGGGUGUGUCAGUUGGUAUCAGAGCAUGGUUGCAAUCUUGGACAUCUUGAGAAGUUUCUAGUGAAUUCUGUCAGAACUACACCGCCUCGUAGCCAACCACGUAGUUAGGGGAAGCUAUUAUUAUGGUGAUUCAGUAUAUUAUCGAAAUGGACAUUUUAAGACGGGUUAUGAGUUGAAUUUGAAUCACCUUAUGAAAUGAUGAACCCGAGGGAACGAAAUAACGGUUUAACCAUUUGGAAAAGAUGUUUCAGAUUAUGCAAGUCAAAGGAAUCUUCCUUCUGACAGGGGGUCGAGACGACUACCUGGUUUUGGUUAUGAAUUUGUAUCCUGGUGGAAACAGGAGUAUGAUUUGUUGUCACCGGAGGAACAGUCGAUUGAGAAUUGUUUAAGGACUUGUUUAAGGAAAAGUUUAUCCCUCCGGCAUUUAUCGAUGGUAGUAAACAAGAGUUUACAAAUAUGAGACAAGGAAGGUGAUGAUCGAGGGAUAUUAUAGAAAGUUUUCAGACUUGCCUCAUUCCAUCCAGAUAUUGUUGUUAAUUUGGUGGAGGUGUUAUGUUGUUUUAAGCUGGGUGGCAAAAAGGGAAGUGGUAUUUUGGGUGACCACUAUCCAUUGUACUUCUUACCAGGAAUAUACGAGAUGCUGUUGAGUCUUGAGGACUCUGAGAACAUGAGCAACGAGAAUAAAGAAGAAUAAGAAAUGAAUGGGAAUUAAAAGAAGACGAUAAAGUUAAUGAUUCGUCAUAUCAAGGAUAUAGAAAGAUUCAGAGCUUCGAAAGAAGUGAAGCUAGAGUUAAUUCUUCCAGCUGAGGUUUUAAUGUCGCUGGUCAGAGUAAAAGUGAUGGAUAUACUGGUAAUCCCAGAUAUUUGAGACAAGGUGUCUCGAGUAAAGGAAAUGUACCUUGUGCAGCAAGUACAAAAUUAACACUUUGGGAAGUGUGAAAUUAAUGAAUGUGUUUAUGUGAACAGAGGGGACACAGAAUUGUGAAUCGUCCCUAGAAUCAGUUGUACUCAACAAUUUUCCAUGAUAUCAUAGUGUCGAUUCAGCAGAGUUAUGGACUUAGUAGUUUGGUCGGAUUGACCGUGAGUACAGAGAGCUUUGAUGAGUUAUAUGUUCAGCCGUACAGACCAUGAGAAGUGGAUUCGACUGACACAUGAGAAAUUGGUGAGUUAUAGGCUCGGCCGUACCGACCACGCGGAGUGGAUCCGGCCGACGUAUUAUUGAGAUAAGAGUUGAAUCAGCCGUAUUGAUCAUUCUAGUUGACUUCGGCUGAUAUAUUUCUUAUUAUGUAUGUUAUAUCUUUGAGAGUGGUUGCCUACUUAUCGAGACAACGAUGAUUUAUCAGUAUUGCGGGCUGCAGACCGUAAUAUUAAUAACUCAUUCGUGGAUUCGUUAAGCAAGCAACCCGGUAGAUUAUUUUAUGUUAGUGUUGUACUUAUUUAGAAUGUUCAGUAAUAAUUAAGUAUGUAUUGGGUCAGUUAAUUUUAUUUCCAUUAGUUUGGUUGGUUAUAAUUGUGACUAGAUGGAUUAUUACGGGAAACCAGUCACUUUCCAUCGAUCUGGAUGAUCAGAGGUUACCUUAAUGAGUGGGCAUGCAAAGUGAAGUGAGUUCAGCCAUUAUUUAUGCUGUGAAAGCAAAGAUAUUGUUUUGAAAGGCUGCCCAAAAAUACUUAGUUCAUGUGGUGCUAAAUGAUGUUGUUUGGAGUAGUGUGAAUAAUGUCGAAAGGGUUAGACUUUUCUUGAUGUCUUCCCUGAAAGUAUACCUGGAUUGCCUUCAGGCAGAGAUAUGAGAUUCACUAUUGAUUUGUUGCCAGGUAUAAAUUUAUGUUAAAGAUUGGUUCAUGAUGAGUUAAGGGAAUUGGAAAUUCAGUUGAAAGAAUUGGUUGAUAAAAGUUUUAUUCAACCUAGUACAACACUUUUGAGGAGCACCAGUUUGUUGGUGAGAAAGAAAAUGGACUUAGAGAUUGUUCAUUGAUUAAAGACAAUGGAAUUGGUAACGAUCGAGAACCGUUAUCCAUGAUAGUGUACUGAUGUUUAGUUGAUAAGCUCAGAGAUGUUUGUAUAAUUUCAAAGAUUGAUUGAGGUCUGGUUAUUACCAAUUGAAGAUUUUGAGCGACAUUGAUCAAGAUGGUUUUCUGGAUUUGUUAUGAUCUUUUAUGAGCUUUGGUGAUGCUAUAAGAAAACUCACGCUGUUUUAGGAGUUUAUGGAUGAAGUAUUCCACGAAUGUCGUGAUAAAUUGUUAUCAUUUGUCAUUGACGAUAUUCUGGUACAUUCUGAGCCAGAGCAGAGCAUGUAAACGUAUUAAGUCGAUGAAGCAAAGAUUGAGAGAACGUUGGUUGUAUGCUAAGUUUAGCAAAGGCUAAAGUUAAAUGAAUCAAGUGGCAUUCUAAGAAUUGUUAUAUCUGCUUAAGGUAUUCAAGUGAAUCCUUAAAAGAUAGCAGAAAUUGAGAAUUUGGAACAACCACGAGCCGUAAUUGAGAUUUGGAAUUUCUUAACUUACCAGGCUAUCUUGAAUGGUUGUGAAAGAGUUUUUAGUCAUUGCUUUGUCAUUGACGAGACUGUUGAGAAAGGAGGUUAUGUAUGAGUGGGAAGGAAAUUGUGAGCAAAGGAUUCAACAACUGAAGUAUUUCCUCACUCAUGCACGUAUUUUGGUAUUCCCAGAGAAUAGUGGUAAUCAUAAAUUUUUAGUGAUGUUUCUUGAAUGGUAUUGGAGGCAUGUUGAUGCAAAUGUUAGGGUGAUUGCAUACGUUUCACGAUAAAUGGAACCUCAUGAGAUGAAUUACCCUACGGGUGACUUGGAAGUCAUGAUUACCAUUCUUGCUGUGAAGUUAUGAAGACAUUAUAUGUUGAUAAGAAUGCAAGAUUUUACAAAUCAAAAUAGUCUCCAAUAUUUGUUUACUCGGAAGGAUUUUGAUAUGAGGCAACAAAGGUGGAUUGAAUUACUUAGUGAUUAUGAUUGUACGAUCAGGGUGAUCGUGAAUUGUUGUAGCUGAUACACUUGGUGAAAAGAUUGCAGAAGAUUUAUGUCUGGCACGUUGCCAAGAGUAUCAUCUUGUGGAUUGAAAACCAACGGAAGAAAAGUUAAGAGUGAAAGAUCGAGAAGAAGUUAUACUUGUUAAUUUUCAAGUUAGGCCUGUUUGGUAAGGUCGUACUCGAAACUUAAAUGUUUGACGAGGAAAUUUAAGAAUUAACCAAGGCAGAGAAAGAAGGGAAAAAGAAUGAGUACAUGAUUCGUGAAUCAAAUGGUAUGUGGAUACAAGAAAACAAAAAGUAUGUGCCUAAUGCUAAGGAUUUAAAGUAAGCAAUUUUGGACGAAGUACAUUGUUUAGCUUCUGCAAUAUUCCGAAAGUAAUAAGAUUUAUCAUACCAUUCGACAAUUUUAUUUGGUCAGUAGAUUGAGGCAUAAAGAGAUAAGCCUUUGGAUUGAGAUAACUAUUUUCUGUUCGCAGUGGAAAUGGAAAGAAGAAUUGGUUUACGGAACUGCUGAGUUUCUUAAGUAUGUUGGUUGUGCAGUUUCCGAAGUAACGCCAUAAGGACCAUGAAAUGUGUCAGGUGAGUCGGUUUUGUUGACUUGUGAAUGGAAUGCUUCUGAAUAGAGAAAGAUUCGAUCAAGAAAGAGUUUUAGUAGAUCCUGAGACUAUGGAUGAGUCUCCUCAAAGUAUUCAGGUGAUUAAGUUAACCUGAAGUAACCAGGAAUGGCAAAAGAGAUCAACAGAUGGAUAUGCCACUAAUCGAGUGUGUAAGGUAAAUGGUUUGAUAUUUUUGGAAUUUCACCAUGAACAGAAAUAGUAAGAUUCAGAAAGGAAGACAAGAUAAGCCUUGAAAACAUCAGUCUGUUUUGAUCACUAAAGGAAUCGACGAAGUUGCAUACAAGUUUGUGAUGCCUUCAGAAUUGGCUAAGGCACAUAAUGUAUUUUGUGUUCGAUGCGUUGUCACUAAGUGGCAGAGUCGUUACAUGGGACUUUGGUGCAACUAUUGAGAAUUAAGCCGGAUCUGAUUGGUGAGGAACUAAUGUCGACUUUGGAUUGGAAAAAGAAGGUCCUGAGAAUUAAGGCAGAGUAAGUAGUAAAAGCUUUGUGAAGGAAAUCAUUUAGUAGAAAAUUAUGUGGGAGAAAGAGAAUCGGAUGAGAGAGAUUUACUCGAAGCUAUUGUUGGAGUAUGGUUGAUUUAGUUGGUUGCUGGAAUUUCGGGGACGAAAUUCUAUAAGGAGGGAAGAUUGUCACAGCCCGUCCCGGAAUUAUUAAUUCCGAGGACGUGAAAUGACCAAUACAACCUUAAACGGGAUUAAGGUGCAUAACUGUGACAUUAGUUUAACCUAAAGUUCUUAAACUAGUUUUAGGGUUUAAACUUAGACCAAGAAUUUCAGGAACAUGUUAAAGUUUGAAAGUGGGAUCCCCACAUCCCUCAAAACCCUCCCCAUUUCCCGUAUACUGUCAUUCACUCUCUCUCUCCCUCAGACCUCACUUUCUCUCUCCCUCUCCUUCGAACUCACACGGACCACCACAAAACCACCCUAAAUCUAUACCAACGUCAAGUUUGAGAUCACCAUUGGAAUCCUGGAACUUCCACGAUCACGAUGAUAUCCAUUUCAGGUAAGUUUUGCUUCGGAAAACCCUAGUUUCGGUGUCACCGUAAUAUUGCACUGUUCACGAACUUCAAAUUGGCUUUGUUUUAGGCCAAACUAAGAUCACAGUGAGCUUAAGGAAGUUCCAAGGAUGCUCGGAGUGUAACGUUUGGAAGUUUUUGACGUCGGGAUCGUUGAGUUCAACGUUUGGCCGAUUUUUGGAAUUUUUGGAAGGUAUGAUCCCGUGGUUUUUAGUGUUUAAAACCCUUCCAUCGUGAUUGUACAUGUUAAAUGCUUCAAUUUGGUAUAAAUUACAUGAAAAAUGGACGAAAAACGAAGGAGAAUAGUGGUUUUGAAAGAUUACCCAGUUUCCGGCGCCGGCGACGGUCGCCGGAGCUGAAGGUUGAAGGUGACGGAAUAUUCCGUCAAGGUUGACGGAAUAUUCUGACGCCGUUAGUCAGUUUUAACGGUUACCGUUAGAAGUUAACGGAAUAUUCUGAGGAAUAUUCCUGACGUCGUAAAGAUUUCCGUUAGGGUUACUGCGCGUGGGCCGCGCGUAGACCCGUGGCCUCGCCGGCGCGUGGAGGCGCGUGCAUGGUCCAAAAUUAUUUCUAAAAAUAUGUACGGGUUCGUGACGUCGUGUAGGUCACAGUGGUAUAUUCAUAUACCCAAUUUGAGCAAUAUAUGAGGAGUUAUUAGCUAAGAGUGGGAUUAUGCGUUAAAUAACGUUAAUUUGGUUACUUCUCGUAUAGGCGAGGAUUAUACGGACGUUGGGCAUGGCUAAGGGAGGCUCAGGGACCUUCGACACGUCGAUGUAUUCUGUGAGUGGGCAGUUUUGUUUUCCGUAUAUAUAUAUACUUGACGUCUCCCAGAAAUUGAAUUGAAAUGAAAAUAUGUUUAAAAUGAAAUGCAUAUGAGUUAUGUGGAAAAACGGAAAGUGAAAUACCAUGCAUAGAAUUGAUAUGAAAAGUAUAUAGAAAUGUGAGUUGAAAUGCCAUGCAUGAAUUAAUAUAUGAUGCAUAUGUAUGAAUUGGUGCGGUGGACGCACAGGUAAGAAUUAAUAUAUGAUGCAUAUGUAUGAAUUGGUGCGGUGGACGCACAGGUAAGAAUUGAUUUAUGAUGCAUAUGUAUGAAAUUGUGCGGUGGACGCACAGGUGAGUAUUUAUUUCUGUUAUGAUGAUGUUGAUGUAUAUUGAGCUCAAAUCCUGCACCAUAGUUUAGUGCUUAUAGUAUUCACCGCAUCGCACGCUCGUCUUGGAUCCAAGUAAAUGCUAGUCGUACAGUCCACGCGGAGUGGGUACGACAGGCCAGUCGCGAGAGUGUUAGUGAGAUUCCGACUGGUGGGUGACCUUAGAUUAUGUGCACAGAUGAUUUAUGAGAAGCACUAGAGCGUAACUUAUGUGCAGAAGGCCGUACAGGUCACGCGGAGUGACUCCGGCAGAGUGUGAGAGUGAUAGAUUUUGAGCUCUAGGUUCAACCGGGCUAAUAGAGGGCCUCCGGUUGAUUACUUUAUUGCACCUGAUAUGAUUUAUGUUGAUGCAUUCAUACCUUAUUACUGUCGAGAUGAUGUGGCAUGGCAUAAUUAAUAUGAGAAAUGUUGAGAUGAUGUGGCAUGG
rnacentral:lncRNA from 1 species